rnacentral:misc_RNA from 1 species
GGAAGGAUCAUUAACACAUUGUCCAUUUGAUGGUAGUUGGUUUUAGGACUGGAGCAAUUCAGAACUAGGAUCUCUAUCAUUCAAACCAAUAGCAAACUUGUUGAAGUACACAACAUUAUGUUUUUUUAACAUGAUUGGAGUGGAAUACAAGUGUAAUCACGAUCAAUGUUCCCCUCAAAAAGGAGCAUUCGACUGAUGUUUACAACAAACAAUAAAAUAUAACCAAGACAACUUGUAACAGUGGAUACCUUGGUUCCCAGGUCGAUGAAGAGCGCAGCGAACUGCGAUAAGUCAUGUGAAUUGCAGAAUUCCGUGAAUCAUCGAACUCUUGAACGCAAAUUGCACUUGGGUGUUGAGCUCAAGUGUGCCUGCUCGAGUGUCGGCAAUAAAUACUCACUUUCUAAAAGUGAACAAUGAGAGUUCAACCUUGUGUUGAUCUUUUUAAAAGAAUGAAACUUGAUUCUAACCAUGCUUUACUCAAAACAAGUAUGAUUGUGAAUUAAUAGUUCAAGUGAAUUAAGUAACCUAGUUACUCUAUCUACUUGCAACUAUCAUGAUCAGAAAUUAUUGAGUGAGAUUGAUUCAAGCGACAGUGAUUGAGAAUUCAUAUUCUUGAUCAAAUUCAUUUUAACUCUCGACCUCGAAUUAGGCAAGAUCACCCGGUGGACUUAAGCAUAUUAUUAACCGGAGGAAAAGAAACUAACUAGGAUGCCCUUAGUAACGGCGAGUGAAGCGGGCAGAGCUCAAAUUUAAAAUCUGGGAUCCUUAUGGGUCUCCGAAUUGUAGUUUUUGGAUUGUUAGUCACGGAAUUGCAAGUGUGAGAGUAAGUUCUUUGGAACAAGGCAUCAGAGAGGGUGAGAAUCCCGUAUGCGUCUCCACUUGUAGUUCAAUAGGUGUCUAGCUUUUCACGAGUCGGGUUGUUUGGGAUUGCAGCCCUAAAUAGGUGGUAGAUCUCAUCUAAAGCUAAAUAUUCCUGGGAGACCGAUAGCGAAGAAGUAGUGUGAACGAAAGGUGAAAAGAACUUUGAAAAGAAGGUGAAAAGUACUUGAAGCUGUUCCAAGGGAACGAUAUGUAACCAGUGAUUGCUUGUAGACAAUUCAGCGUGCAGUCUGCGAGCGGUGUUGGACACACGGAGGUGUAUGCCCCGGAGUGCUGAGCCGUGAGUGGAGAGCGCGUGUACUUUGUUUGCGAGCGAGUCAGCAUCAGUUUGGCUGGUGACGGAGAAAGGUGGGGGGAAGGUAGGCUAGCCAGCAAUGGUUAUCUGUUAUAGCCCUCUAUUGCAUACGUCACUCUGGACUGAGGAAAGAAAACGCAUGCCUCGGCGAGGUAGUUGGUGGACCCACGCUAAUGACUCGGGUACGUCUGCUUGCAGGGUGCUUGGUCGAUUGGUGUGGCGAAGCUGGCCCAUCGGUGCGUUCGGGAUGUUGACGAAAUGGUUUCAUAUCACCCGUCUUGAAACACGGACCAAGGAGUCUAACAUGUAUGCGAGUGUUUGAGUGGAAAACUCGAGCGCGCAACGAAAGUGAGAGAUGCGAGUCUGUAAGGAUGCAGCAUCGACCGACUGUCUUCAGGGACGGAUCGCGUCGGAGCACACAUGAUGGGACCCGAAAGAUGGUGAACUUUGCGUGCGCAGGGUGAAGCCAGAGGAAACUCUGGUGGAGGCUCGUAGAGAUACUGACGUGCAAAUCGUUCUUCUGACGUGCGUAAAGGGGCGAAAGACUAAUCGAACCAUCUAGUAGCUGGUUUACAC